rnacentral:tRNA from 1 species
GCCAAUGUAGCUCAGAUGGUCAGAGCACGUCAUUGGUAAUGACGAGAUACCGGUUCAAUUCCGGUCAUUGGCU